rnacentral:RNase_P_RNA from 1 species
CCAGCCGGCCGGACGGCCGCUGCCGGGACGACAGGGCUUUUGCGGCCCAGCCCCCGGCGGAGGAAAGUCCGGGCUCCAGGGACCAACGGUGGCGGCUAACGGCCGCCGGGGGCGACCCCAGGGAAAGUGCCACAGAAAUCAGACCGCCGACGCGGGGCGACCCGCAGGCAAGGGUGAAACGGUGCGGUAAGAGCGCACCGCGUCUGCGGUAACGCAGACGGCACGGCAAACCCCACCGGGAGCAAGACCGAAUAGGGGCGGCAUGGGCGCUGCGGGGCAACCUUCGGCGUCCGAGCGCGGUCCUCGCCGCCGCCCGGGUUGGUUGCUCGAGGCCGGGAGCGAUCCCGGUCCCAGAGGAAUGGCCGUCGCGGAGACACCCUCUCCAGACAGAACCCGGCUUACAGGCCGGCUGGCAGU